AACGAGAAUCUGUGGAAAGAGGAUUCGUCCAAUUGAAGCAGAGGACAGUGGCGGACGGGUGAGUAACGCGUGAGGAACCUGCCUUUCAGAGGGGGACAACAGUUGGAAACGACUGCUAAUACCGCAUGACACAUCGGAGUCGCAUGGCUCUGAUGUCAAAGAUUUAUCGCUGAAAGAUGGCCUCGCGUCUGAUUAGCUAGUUGGUGAGGUAACGGCCCACCAAGGCGACGAUCAGUAGCCGGACUGAGAGGUUGAACGGCCACAUUGGGACUGAGAUACGGCCCAGACUCCUACGGGAGGCAGCAGUGGGGAAUAUUGGGCAAUGGGCGCAAGCCUGACCCAGCAACGCCGCGUGAAGGAAGAAGGCUUUCGGGUUGUAAACUUCUUUUGUCAGGGACGAGUAGAAGACGGUACCUGACGAAUAAGCCACGGCUAACUACGUGCCAGCAGCCGCGGUAAUACGUAGGUGGCAAGCGUUGUCCGGAUUUACUGGGUGUAAAGGGCGUGUAGCCGGGAGGGCAAGUCAGAUGUGAAAUCCACGGGCUCAACUCGUGAACUGCAUUUGAAACUACUCUUCUUGAGUAUCGGAGAGGCAAUCGGAAUUCCUAGUGUAGCGGUGAAAUGCGUAGAUAUU
rnacentral:rRNA from 1 species